GACCCGAUAGCUUAGUGGUAAAGCACGCUGGUUCUGGUGGAUUGCACCCCUUGAGGUUUCCCCAGUGUUCCCUUGUUCGAUUCGAGGUCGGGUCA